GUGACCCCUGAAAAUUUGAGCUUCCCUAGUUUACACAUUGCAUCAAUGAGCUAUUUCAUAAGCAGUGCAGAGCCAAAUCUCUGUGGUAAUUGAGGUAUGUCAGGUCCAAAUGACAAGGAUUUGGAUUUAGUGGAUUUAGUAUCUUCCUAGCCUUCCCUUCAAAAGAAUGGGAAUUCGUGGAGAACUGCUUUGAUGCUCACUUUCCUCACUGGAUACCGAGAGCCCGGAGACGCGAUUUUGCUCCACGCCAGAGCUGAGAGGUCUGAGGAGGUGGUGCAGGGUUUUAGUGAUGUUAUAGACUCUCCCACUGAAGGCUUUCCAUGUGUCCUCACUCCUGCUGUCCCCAACAAGACUGUGGACUUGUUUGAGAUGAUUGAAAAAAUGCAGGGGAGUCGUCUGGAUGAACAGAGAUGUUCCCUUCCAGCUCCUCUCAAGACAGAAGAGGAGUAUAUUCCUUAUCCCAGCAUCCAUGAGGUAUUACAGAAAGGCUGGCCAUAUCCUCUCAUUAUCCUACCCCAGUUUGGGGGCUACUGGAUUGAAGGGACCAGCCACAACCUCUCUAGCUUGAGUCCAACUCUGUCUGAUGUACCCUUUUCCUGGAGUGGUAAAGUGAAACUGGAAAGUGACCCUACAGCCAAGCUGUACCGCAAACAUUUUCUGGGAAAGGAGCACCAGAACUUUUACUCCAGUGACAUGUCCUUGGGCUACCUAGUACUUUCUGUGAAAUAUGAACAGAUCGAGAAACAGGAAAAUCUACGUCUGUUGCUGAGGACUCGUACUGGCACCAAACAUGAUCUAAUUCCUAUUUCCUGUCUGAAUGAGUUUCCCAAUGCUGUUCAGAUGGCAAAGCUACUGUGUGAGGAUGUGAAUGUUGAACGCUUCUUUCCUGUCCUGUAUCCCAAGGCCUCACAGCUUAUUGUUGCAUUUGAUGAACACGUCAUAAGCAAUAACUUCAAAUUUGGGGUCAUCUACCAAAAACCUGGACAGACAACUGAAGAAGAAGUCUUCAGUAACACAGUAGAGAGUCAGGGUUUUCUGGAGUUCCUGGAUUUCCUUGGUGACAAGAUUCAGCUGCAGGAUUUCCGUGGGUUCCGGGGAGGCUUGGAUGUUACCAGAGGUCAAACAGGCACUGAGUCAGUCUAUACAAAUUUCCGGGGGAAGGAGAUCAUGUUUCAUGUGUCCACAAAGCUGCCCUUCACAGAGGGAGAUUCCCAGCAGCUUCAGCGAAAGCGUCACAUUGGGAAUGAUAUUGUAGCCAUCAUUUUCCAGGAUGAAAGCACACCUUUUGUCCCUGAUAUGAUUGCUUCUAAUUUCCUACAUGCUUACGUGGUAGUUCAGCUCACUCUUAGCACCACUGGGGACACUCUCUACAAGGUUUCAGUCACAGCCCGAGAUGACGUCCCCUUCUUUGGACCUCCCCUGCCAAAUCCAGCCAUAUUUAAAAAGAGCGCAGAGUUUCGUGAAUUCCUUCUGGUCAAGCUCAUCAACGCCGAGUACAGCUGCUAUCGAGCUGAGAAAUUUGCUAAAUUAGAGGAAAGAACACGGAGUGCCCUCUUGGAGAGCCUUUUUGAGGAGCUGCAGCUGCGCAGCCGCAGCAUGAUGGGAUUACCUGUAGGGGAGGAUGACAAGAUAGAGAAUGGCAGUGGGGGCUUCCUCGAGAACUUCAAGCGGGUGAUCAGAGGCCGCAGCCAGAGCCUGGAUACCAUGGGGAUAUCCAUGAGAAAGCAGCAGCCAGCCACCCUGCCCAGCCGCCCAGCCACGGCGGGCCUUGCCCUCAGCCAGAGUGUCGCCGAGGGCCCUAAGGCCAUUGCUGCGUCUUUUGCCUUGCCUGGUAGGAGCCCGUCACGUACUCGAGCCAGCCGCUUCCACGGGCGACGGAGUAGUGCCAUUGGCAUUGAAAACAUACAGGAGGAAAAGAGGUUCUGCCGUGAACUGGCUCAUGGAGAAGUCUGAUGGGUACCAGGACUGGUGGAAAGUGCACUCAGCAAGAAUGAAGGAGGCUGGAGCAUGCUCCCUUUCUGGGAAACAGGGAGCUCAAAGUGUCACGUGUUGACUUCACCCUGAAGCUGUAACUUAAUGAUACGGAGGCUUUGCUGACAGAGCUGACCCAGCAGAGACACCACAGAGAGGAUACAGAGGGUGUUUGACAGUCCAGGAACUUUCUUUGACCUGAAGUCUGAUGGAUCAUCCAGUCCC